UCCCUAUGGGGUGCAGCAGUCGCGAAAACUCCGCAAUGCGCGAAAGCGUGACGGGGCUACCCCGAGUGCCGUCCGCUGAGGAUGGCUUUUCCUUGGUGUAACUAGCCGGGGGAAUAAGGAGGGGGCAAGACUGGUGUCAGCCGCCGCGGUAAUACCAGCUCUCCGAGUGGUAGGGAUGAUUAUUGGGCUUAAAGCGUCCGUAGCCGGCUUAGCAAGUCUCCUGUUAAACUCAGCGACCUAAUCGUUGACCCGCGGGAGAUACUACUAGGCUAGGAGGCGGGAGAGGUCGACGGUACUUCUGGGGUAGGGGUGAAAUCCUAUAAUCCCGGGAGGACCACCAGUGGCGAAGGCUGUCGACUAGAACGCGCUCGACGGUGAGAAACGAAAGCUGGGGGAGCGAACCGGAUUAGAUACCCGGGUAGUCCCAGCUGUAAACGAUGCAGGCUAGGUGUUUGGGCGGCCACGAGCCGCCCUAGUGCCGCAGGGAAGCUGUUAAGCCUGCCGCCUGGGGAGUACGGCCGCAAGGCUGAAACUUAAAGGAAUUGGCGGGGGAGCACCACAAGGGGUGAAGCUUGCGGUUUAAUUGGAUUCAACGCCGGAA
rnacentral:rRNA from 1 species